UAUACUCCAAGCAUCCAGAAAUGCUCUGUUUCUCUUGAUUAACACCCAGAGCUGGAUCUGUCUCUGCCCUACUGUAAGGUUUGGGUAAAUACGACUUCAAGAUUCAGUGCCUAGAAGUUGGAUUUGGUAAACCUAUGAAACUGACUACAGUAUUAUCUUUACAUUCAUGAGUAAAUAGGUAUCUUACGAUUCCUGGGCCAGAUUUAUCAAGAUCUCCGUCAAUGCAUUUUGAAGCAGAUGGGGCAGUAAUUCAUGAAAAAUAGUGUUUAGAAAAGA